rnacentral:rRNA from 1 species
AUUGAACGCUGGCGGCAGGCCUAACACAUGCAAGUCGAACGGUAGCACAGAGAGCUUGCUCUCGGGUGACGAGUGGCGGACGGGUGAGUAAUGUCUGGGAAACUGCCCGAUGGAGGGGGAUAACUACUGGAAACGGUAGCUAAUACCGCAUAACGUCGCAAGACCAAAGUGGGGGACCUUCGGGCCUCACACCAUCGGAUGUGCCCAGAUGGGAUGAGCUAGUAGGUGGGGUAAUGGCUCACCUAGGCGACGAUCCCUCGCUGGUCUGAGAGGAUGACCAGCCACACUGGAACUGAGACACGGUCCAGACUCCUACGGGAGGCAGCAGUGGGGAAUAUUGCACAAUGGGCGCAAGCCUGAUGCAGCCAUGCCGCGUGUAUGAAGAAGGCCUUCGGGUUGUAAAGUACUUUCAGCGGGGAGGAAGGCGGUGAAGUUAAUAACUUCACCGAUUGACGUUACCCGCGGAAGAAGCACCGGCUAACUCCGUGCCAGCCGCCGCAGUAA